rnacentral:tRNA from 1 species
UGCGGGGUGGAGCAGUUGGUAGCUCGUCGGGCUCAUAACCCGAAGGUCAUACGUUCGAGUCGUAUCCCCGCUA